rnacentral:rRNA from 1 species
UACAGAGGUCCCGAGCGUUGUUCGGAUUCACUGGGCGUAAAGGGUGCGUAGGUGGUGAGGUAAGUCGGAUGUGAAAUCUCCAAGCUCAACUUGGAAAUGGCAUUGGAAACUACCUUGCUGGAGGUUUGGAGGGGGGACUGGAAUUCUCGGUGUAGCAGUGAAAUGCGUAGAUAUCGAGAAGAACACCAGUGGCGAAGGCGAGUCCCUGGACAAAACCUGACACUGAGGCACGAAAGCUAGGGGAGCAAACAGG